rnacentral:tRNA from 1 species
GCCUGGGGGGCUCAGCUGGUUAAGCAUCCGACUUUGGCUCAGGUCAUGAUCUCACGGUUUGUGGGUUCGAGUCCCACGCCGGGCU